AAUCAAAUUAUGUGCAUUAUGUU
rnacentral:snRNA from 1 species